rnacentral:rRNA from 1 species
GUGAGGAAUAUUGGUCAAUGGGCGCAGGCCUGAACCAGCCAAGUAGCGUGAAGGAUGACUGCCCUAUGGGUUGUAAACUUCUUUUAUAUGGGAAUAAAGUUUUCCACGUGUGGAAUUUUGUAUGUACCAUAUGAAUAAGGAUCGGCUAACUCCGUGCCAGCAGCCGCGGUAAUACGGAAGGUCCGGGCGUUAUCCGGAUUUAUUGGGUUUAAAGGGAGCGUAGGCCGGAGAUUAAGCGUGUUGUGAAAUGUAGACGCUCAACGUCUGCACUGCAGCGCGAACUGGUUUCCUUGAGUACGCACAAAGUGGGCGGAAUUCGUGGUGUAGCGGUGAAAUGCUUAGAUAUCACGAAGAACUCCGAUUGCGAAGGCAGCUCACUGGAGCGCAACUGACGCUGAAGCUCGAAAGUGCGGGUAUCGAACAGGAUUAGAUACCCCAGUAGUCC